rnacentral:rRNA from 1 species
CCUACGGGAGGCAGCAGUGGGGGAUAUUGCACAAUGGGGGAAACCCUGAUGCAGCGACGCCGCGUGUGGGAAGACGGUCCUCUGGAUUGUAAACCACUGUCCCCAGGGACGAAGAUGACGGUACCUGGGGAGGAAGCUCCGGCAAACUACGUGCCAGCAGCCGCGGUAAUACGUGGGGAGCGAGCGUUGUCCGGAAUUACUGGGUGUAAGGGGAGCGUAGGCGGGACGGCAAGUUGAGUGUCAAAUCUACCGGAUCAACCGGUCGCCGACCUGGAAACUGCGGUUCUUGAGUGAAGUAGAGGCAGGCGGAAUUCCUAGUGUAGCGGUGAAAUGCGUAGAUAUUAGGAGGAACACCAGUGGCGAAGGCGGCCUGCUGGGCUUUUACUGACGCUGAGGCUCGAAAGUGUGGGGAGCAAACAGGAUUAGAUACCCCGGUAGUC